AAGCAUUUUUAAACUUUUUUUGUUAAAUUCUAAUAAAAACCUUUUUUUUUAGGUAUUGGGCGGAAGUGGGGCGGCUUGCACCCCCUUUUAUAAAGGCAAUUUAUACACAACUGUAACAUGGUAUUGGGCGGAAGGGAGCGGCUUACACCCCCUUUCAUGAAGUCAAUUUAUACACCACUAGUUACUAUUUUUCCAAGUAUCGAAAUAUAUUUUUUAUUUUUUAUACUAAAAUUAAUUGUUUUAGUAAAGAUUGAAAUAUUUAAAAGAAUGAAAUUUUGAUAGGGUGUGUUAAACCUUAUUCAAAACCCAACACCCGACUUUGAGAUAGACUUGUAAUAUUCACUAGUGAUGUGGAAUAAAAUAAUAACAAUUUUUUGUAUAUA